UAAGGUACAUUUUCAAAAGUGACGCCACACAGUAACUGGCGUGCAGUUCGAGUGUGGUGCUACGGUGUAAACACUGCGGAAUUCUUGAAUCCACUGCGUGAAGUUAACCGCGCGAGAGAGACGAAGCCAAUUCACUCCAUCUUUUUGCGUAUCGCUUUCAGAACGUAACGGACGCAGGAUGGACCGACUCCGGAGCAAGUGGCACCACAAAUCUCUUAAUUGAUCGUGGCAGGUUGAUGUGGACCGGUGCCGGGGCAAAUGUCGUGCCGUAUCUACUCGAACGUGACGAACGCAGGAUGAACCGAUUCUGGAACGAGUGGCAUCGCGAGUCAUUUAAUUGAUCAUAACAAUCCUGACAUGGAUCGGUUCCAGGGCGGAUAACAUCGCGAUAUUUAUUUGAAGGCGACAAACACGAAAUGAAGUUGCUCCGAAUGCAUUGCAAAUUAUUUUUUAAUAACUUGUGAGGAAGAGGAAGAGGAAAUCUGACAAUAUCAAAAUAGGAGAAGGAGGUCUAGGAGGACAUCAGGUGUCGGUGGAGCAACUUUGCGAAUCUCCGUAGCUACAUCACUAAUAACUCCACUGUUGCGCAUCGGUUGGUAAGUGAUAAAAAUUUGUAUUACUAAGGUAACGAAUCUAUGAAAAAUAUAUUAAAUAUAUCGUAUCAACAUUAUUACAAUUAUAUUUGAAAUAACUAUAAUACAAAACUUUAUGGAUUCAUUAUCUUAAAAUAAACAUACGGACACAUAUCAAA